UACGUAGGGGGCUAGCGUUGUCCGGAAUCAUUGGGCGUAAAGCGCGUGUAGGCGGUCCGGUAAGUCCGCUGUGAAAGUCGGGGGCUCAACCCUCGAAUGCCGGUGGAUACUGUCGGGCUAGAGUGCGGGAGAGGAGAGUGGAAUUCCCGGUGUAGCGGUGAAAUGCGCAGAUAUCGGGAAGAACACCCGUGGCGAAGGCGGCUCUCUGGAACGCAACUGACGCUGAGACGCGAAAGCGUGGGGAGCAAACAGG
rnacentral:rRNA from 1 species